GUACGAAGAAAACGGAAAAACGGUGACAAAGUUCAGAGGAAGAUAAACAUUACGAGGAUUAAGUAGGUAAUGCAUUCAACAGAUAACAGUUAAGGGAUUAUUAGCACCAGUCAAGAGUGACAAUCAGGUUUGUCACAUGACCUGAGGGAACCCAGGAAGUCCUUGUUGCUGUGGUGUGUAGCGUUUCCUGACAGAAUGGAGAUCCACUUCCAUCCAGCUUCUUCUUAAUGGAAUGUUUCCCAGUUUCCAGGUGGAGAAGCAUCAGAGAGAAGAUGAAAGCUGAGUGGGGAGUGGAACAGGUUGCCACAAGGGGAGGAGCACACAACACCACCUAUGGCUACUUAAAAUCCUGGAUAUGUGAGCAGUGGAUACAGGGCUACAGAAGGAGCAUGCAACAUUGUCAAAAAAACAGAAAAAAAGAGGCUUUACUGCGGCCGUCUGUGGACAUGGAGCACAGAUACAUGAGACUUCAGACAACCGAUGAACUACAUUUCUCUGUAUCAGAGUUAAUGGAGCACAUGGAGAUGAAUGGGAUUUGCUGUGGACACCAAAUAACCUUGUAACAAGUUCUCCCAGAAAAAUUAUAAUAAUAACCCCAAUACAGAGAAAAAUAUAAUUUUUGGUGCCACCCUGAACCUUUUCCUCCUUUGCAGGGAUAAUGAUGCGUCAGUGAGAGUAAAUGAAAUGGGCCAAUUUUCAAAGUCAUUAUAAACUCUGUUGUUCAAAUGAAUAAAGACAGAAGGAGACUAAAGAAUAUGAGGCAAAUGAUUCACAUUGUCUGAACUUUGUAUAUAUAGUUGUUUACAUGCUUACUAUGCCUGUUCCCAGCUUCUGAAUGUGCAGCUUCACUGUGAUGUCUGUGUAUGUGCAUUGUGUAUUCUUUGAGCGUACCUUUUUUUUUUUUGUUAACAUGUGCAUGUGUAUCAACUCAACCCAAAGCCAAACUGACAGACAGCUUCCCUCUGAGGAGCCCCUUAGUGUUUCUGAUUGAUCGUCAUAAUGCCAAGGUACGGGCCCUGUCCUUGGUGCCUAUGCUAAUCACAGAAUCAUGCAUAUUUAUGAGUUCCUUGGGAAUCAACCAGCUAAAUAAAGGAUGAGGCCGUUGGCUCAUAGCUGUGUUCAUCACCGUUCCUGAUUGAUUAGUAAGAGAAGGAAAUCUGCCUAUAAAGACCAGUUUUUUCCCUCCUCCAGCUCGAGGACCAUAAUGGGAGCUCAGGCAUAACAAAAGGUGGACUUUUCCAGAUUAAACAGUAGCUGAAUA